AAAAGAACCGCUUAGUUUCCCUGACGAUAACUCCCAAAAAGUGCCACCUCAGGGAAGCCACAGCUGGGGUUUAAUUGAGGUGUGAUUGUAGGAGUGAUUGUAUUCCUGUGUGUUAGACACUCAUUUGCUUCAGAGUAAGCUCCACAUAGCAUGUUGAGUCUUCCAGAGGACAGUAGGGCUUUUGGAGAAAAAGUGAGGCUCAGUGAAAACAGAAAUGAGCCUGAAUAAUCUACUAAACAUCCUUAAACCUUGAUGUCCAGCUUCAUAGGCUCAUAGAAUCAGAGAAUUGUACCCACUAGUUCAGGCUGCCCAGGGCUCCAUCCAACCUGGCCUUGAAUGCCUCCAGGAAUGGGGCACCCACAGCUUCUCUGGGUAGCCUGUGCCAGGGUCUCAAUGCUUCAUGCAUGACUGGAAAUGGAAAACUGAGCUGUUUUCAGAUAUGGUAGAAGUAACAGCAAGAAAAAAAUGGAUUGAAAUACUGGCCAACUGGAAGAGUUGCUCCUGGCAUGGUUUAGUAACUGAGCCUCAUCUUCAUGACUUUUCCAGGUGAUGAAGGUGAGCUGGAUUUUGCAAGGAAUUUGCCAGAGGCAGGUGGAUGUCUUUGAUGCUGGGGAAGAGUGCAAGCAACAUUUCACUGCCACCUCAGGCAAGAAAUGAAGCAUGCUUCUAUAAACCCGCCAGAUCCUGGCAUGAAGCAGAGCUGCUGGCAGUCCCGAUGUCAAUGCACAGCAGGUUAUUAUUCAGUUCCUGCAAAGCCAAGAGCAAAUUUUGCUAACGUGAUCAGAUUACAAGGAGUCUCAAAUUGUUCUGUGAUGUAGGAGCUCAUCCUUAGGUGUAUGAGUAGCAGCAGAUCUACUGACCUGUCUGGAAUAAAGUGAUCUUUUUCUUUGAUUAAAGAAAGUCU
rnacentral:lncRNA from 1 species